GUUGGCGGGGGGCUCGGGAGGAUGCUGCGGGGCUCGGGGCCGACAGCGCCUGAGGGAGCCCGAGGGAACCCGAGGGAACCGGGGCUCCGCGCAGCCUGCGCCGGGACACCCCGCCAGGCAACGCCGCUCCCGGCAUGCUGGCUGAAGGGCUUCACCUGUAGGACGUGCUGGCCUCUUCCAAUUUCCAGUGUAAACUGCUCGGAAUGCAGCGAAGGGAGAUGAAUUGACUCAGCCUUAAGUCAAACAUGGAAGCAGUGUUGGUUUGGCCAAGACGAGGAGCCAGUUCUCCGAGCUCUGCCCUCGCUGCAGGCUUGCUGGCAUUCACCGAAUCAAAUAGAAUCAGUUAGGUUAGAAAAGAUCUGUGAGAUCACUGAGUCGAACCUAAGCACCCCCAUGUCAGCUAGAGCAUGUCACUAAAUGCCACAUCCAGUCUUAAGUCCAAGGAUGGUGACUCCACCAUGUCCCUGGUCAAUCUAUUCCGGUGUCUAAUCACCCUUUUUGUGAAGAAAUUCUUCUUAAUAUCCAACCUAAACCUCUCCUGAUGCAGCUUGAAACUAUGUUCUCCUCUCAUCUUGUUACCUGGAGGAGGGACCAGCCCCCAGCUCGCAACAACCCCUGGUCAGGGAAUUGUAGAGAAAGGUCGCCCUGAGCCUCCUUUUCUCCGGGCUAAACUUCCCCUUGUCCCUCAGCUGCUCCUCCAGACCCCUCACCAGCGGGACAAGGGUCCCAGUCACAACCUGGGUGCCCGGGAGGGUGUGGGGCUUCCGAGCCUCUCCUCCCGCUAUCCUCAGCCAGUGGAGCCUGGCUCCAGCCAACAGGAUGGGGCUGCACCCAUACUGCUGCUUCACGCAAGGGUGUACAGACUGGUGGCAAAGAGAAAAGAAUCUGGACAUAAUCUUUGGCAUCUAAAGUUUUAUUUCUCAUAUAUUGCUUUAAAACUAUCGCUGAGCACAACCAUACACAUGGAUAGAAGCAUGUUCUGCUAGUGGAUGGUUUGGUGCAAUGAGGAAACUGACUCCUUUUAAGGAGUUCCUAUUCACUUUCAAAGACCCUUAAAUCCUAAUGGUAUAACAAGAAAAGCGUAGACAGUCUUGUGAUUUGUGAACAUCGGAUUCAUAGUUGUAGGAAGCACCAUUUAGAGGUCCACAGGUUUCCACCUGCCCACUCCUGUGAAGGGCCCAUGGUACUCAAGCUGAGGAAUUUGGCGUGCCAAAAGCUCAUGUGCAGCACGGGUUUUUCCCCUGUGCAAAUAUCGGUAUUUCACAUGGCAUUUUAGCAUCAGGUGCAAAGUGUACAGUUCGUUGAAAGAGCAUUGUUAAAUGAAGCAAGCUGUUUAAUGCCUGUGACAGAGCCUCUCUCAACCUGUUACAUGACAAGAAAAUAAAUACACUGAAGAUGAUAUGAG